rnacentral:rRNA from 1 species
UACGUAGGUGGCAAGCGUUGUCCGGAUUUACUGGGCGUAAAGGAUGCGUAGGCGGACAUUUAAGUCAGAUGUGAAAUACCCGAGCUUAACUUGGGUGCUGCAUUUGGAAACUGGGUGUCUAGAGUGCAGGAGAGGUAAGUGGAAUUCCUAGUGUAGCGGUGAAAUGCGUAGAGAUUAGGAAGAACACCAGUGGCGAAGGCGACUUACUGGACUGUAACUGACGCUGAGGCAUGAAAGCGUGGGGAGCAAACAGG